rnacentral:rRNA from 1 species
AGGGGUUUUGGAUCCUGGGCUCAGAGCGAACGCUGGCGGCGUGCUUAACACAUGCAAGUCGAGCGAAGAUGUUUCGGGGGUAACCUUGGGAUAUACUGAGCGGCGAACGGGUGAGUAAUGCGUGGAUAACUUGCCUUUAGGACUGGGAUAACCCCGGGAAACUGGGACUAAUACCAGAUAAGACCACGGUGUUUAAGGACACAGGGGUAAAAGGUGGCUAGGCAACUAGCUAUCACCUAUAGAGAGGUUCACGUCCCAUCAGGCUGUUGGUGAGGUAAUGGCUCACCAAACCUAAGACGGGUAGCCGGCCUUGGCGGGUGAACGGCCACACGGGGACUGAGACACGGCCCCGACUCCUACGGGAGGCAGCAGUGGGGAAUAUUGGGCAAUGGGCGAAAGCCUGACCCAGCGACGCCGCGUUGGGGAAGAAGGCCUUCGGGUUGUAAACCCAUGUCAGGAGGAACGAUGGAUCUGUGGGCUAAUAUCUCACAGAUUUGACGGUACCUCCAGAGGAAGCCCCGGCUAACUCCGUGCCAGCAGCCGCGGUAAUACGGAGGGGGCUAGCGUUGCUCGGAAUUACUAGGCGCAAAGGGUCCGCAGAUGGCUUC